AAAACAUGCGGCCAUACCCAUACAGUCUUGUGCACCUGUGUCCGCUAGACAUGGAUUUGAAGCCUUUGGAUGUAUUCAAGAAUGUGUCUAUUUAUUGACAGCAAGCAGAGAUAUUAAAAGGAAAGAACAAAAAGGGAUCGUCAUCGUCAAGGCAACGUCACUAGUCCGGGGCAGGCCCGGAGCGCAGAGAAGAGGGCCCCCCCCCCGGUGAAAAUGGACAGCCCGCAUUGGCUAAUCCUCCCCACCGGACGGUCCCUGCAGCAUAGAUGGCCCGGACCAGCUCACCCUUCCUUCCCACCGAGGGGAGUACAGGUGACCGCUGGUGAAAUUUACCAACAAUUGAUAGAUUGAAAAUCGUAUAGCAUAUAUUUCAGGUAGGUGCUGUAUGUGGAUAUUUGUUUAUACUGUUGUCAACUUAUAUUAAAAACUGGGAAAAUAUUUUUUUCUA